GAAAUGCGAUAAGUAAUGUGAAUUGCAGAAUUCAGUGAAUCAUCGAAUCUUUGAACGCACAUUGCGCCCGCCAGUAUUCUGGCGGGCAUGCCUGUCCGAGCGUCAUUUCAACCAUCAAGCCCCCGGGCUUGUGUUGGGGACCUGCGGCUGCCCGCAGGCCCUGAAAACCAGUGGCGGGCUCGCUGUCACACCGAGCGUAGUAGCAAUCACCUCGCUCAGGACGUGCUGCGGGUUCCGGCCGUUAAACAGCCUUACAAAACCCAAGGUUGACCUCGGAUCAGGUAGGAAGACCCGCUGAACUUAAGC
rnacentral:misc_RNA from 1 species